GACGAACGCUGGCGGCGUGCUUAACACAUGCAAGUCGAACGGAAAGGCCCUGCGUUUGUGGGGUGCUCGAGUGGCGAACGGGUGAGUAACACGUGAGUAACCUGCCCUUGACUUUGGGAUAACUUCAGGAAACUGGGGCUAAUACCGGAUAGGAGCUCCUGCUGCGUGGUGGGGGUUGGAAAGUUUCGGCGGGUGGGGAUGGACUCGCGGCUUAUCAGCUUGUUGGUGGGGUAGGGGCUUACCAAGGCUUUGACGGGUAGCCGGCCUGAGAGGGUGAACGGCCACAUUGGGACUGAGAUACGGCCCAGACUCCUACGGGAGGCAGCAGUGGGGAAUAUUGCACAAUGGGCGGAAGCCUGAUGCAGCAGCGCCGCGUGCGGGAUGACGGCCUUCGGGUUGUAAACCGCUUUCGCCUGUGACGAGGCGUGAGUGACGGUAAUGGGUAAAGAAGCACCGGCUAACUACGUG
rnacentral:rRNA from 1 species